ensembl:lncRNA
GUUUGAGCCUUGUAUUAAUCUUCAGGUGAUGGUUUUACUGAGCAUGUGGAAAGUAUCUUCAAUCUCAAGGCCUUCUCACCACUUCUAGACCAAAGCAUGAGUGCCCAAGACCUGACAAAUGCUGCUGCUCAAUAAAGUUCUGAGACUCCAUCCUAAAGGAGGUCACAAAAAGAAGAAAGGAAAGAUCUUUGAGUUUUGCUGCAGUGGCCUUUUUUUCCAUCAUCUGUGCUGUCACAGUUACUCUCUGAAAC